GCCCCGGAGAGCUGCAGGGCGGGUCUUUGUCGCGUUGAGACAAAGCCGCUGAACCUGAGCCGUCGCCUGUGCAGGUGCGCGGGCUCGUUCGCGGGAGGCGUGCGCUCGGGGAGCGGGCUUCCUGCACGAGGUCGCCGCUCAGAGGCUGAUUGGACGGAAUCUCGCGACACCCAAGAUUUUUACCAUUAAAGUGGUGGAUUAAAUGUUCAUGCUGGUUCAUGCUUUUCCAUGAUGGCGUGUGCACAGAACCCUGAUUUGCAGCUCUGGUGUUUCUCUCUGUUUAUUGAAAGCAUCUACCUCACAGGACUGCCAGUAUUGGUCACAUUACCCUAACUGGCCAUGAAUACAACUGUUGACAGGACCGAGGAUUAUGGAUUUUUGCAUCUCCAGCUCCGUACGUGGAUUCUGUGAGAUGGUCCCCCAUUUGCCCUGCACCGUUUGUUGAAUGCUCCAUGUUUUCUCCGUUGACAUGAAAUGCCUCCCAGGGGAUUCUUGGGCAGACUUCAUGGCUUCUGAGCUGAGCUUGUGGUGACAGUGGUUCCUCUUUGUGAAACCUCUCCAGGCAGGCAGAGACCUCAAACAUGCCACUGAGAGCUGCAAACAAGUCAAACCUGCACCAGUACCGGCAUACGUGAGGUCUCCAAAUUGCAGCCUGGAAUGAUGUGAGCACAUGAUUCCCAUCUAGUUGGUUUCUCCACCCCACAUACCAUCUCUCCAAUAAAGUCAGGAGGUGACAGGGAAUAGUCACAUGGUUUUGGUUGUUUGUUUUGCAGACUUUACUCCAUCAACAUGUGAGGAAGACCCGAACUUAAUAUUUGCAAAGCACUUUGAACUAUGGAGAAGAAAGGUGCUAUGUAAUCCUCGUGUUAUCUUUUAGGUUUCAAGCAUGUUACUGUGACAUCAGCAUCCUAGGCUUAAUGAAGGUUUAUUUCAGUUAAUAUAAGUUCAUCCCUCUGUGUUCAACUAGCUGUGAAACCAAGCCACUGGGUGUGGAUUAUGAGGGCUGAAGUUUUGGGGGGUGGGGUGAAAUUUUUCAGAAUUCGUGAUAGCACAUGAGACCACUGAAGCCGGUUUACCUGCCUUCUAUCUACAAGGAUGCUUUUUAAACUAGGACACACAUCUAUUGUUCAGUGAUAAUGAUAGUGAUAAUGCUGACACUAAGAUACUGCAAAAUCCUUCUGCACCUUUUGAAUUAAGUUCUGAAUCAUCAAAAAUAAUUAUAAGAAAUAUAACUUAAGUCUCAAGACAAUUUGGCUGUGUUCCUUAAUGGUUAGGAGUUUUGUUUAAGACACAGACAAGGGUGAGUUUAAUCUUGAUUCUUCCACCUUUUAUCUGAGUAACUUUGAGCAAGUAUCCCAACUUCUGUAAGCUUUAAUUUCUCAUAUAUAAAAUGGUGAUAAUAAUAGUACUUAUUGUUAUAGGGAUUAAUAAGAAAAUCCAUUUAAAGCAAAAUAAGGCACUUCCUAUCUGAUUGGCAAAGAUCAAAAAGAUCAAUAACACCUCUGAUGGUGACUGGUGGAGACAGGUAUACUGCUCAAGGGGGCGUACAUCGAUACAGCCCCCACAUAACACAGUUUACAGUAUCUCUCAAUAUCUAUCAAAGGCACACACAUACCUCUGACCAGCACUUCCUCUAGCUGGAAUUUAUUGAACAGAUGUACUUAUAAAUGAGCAAAUUGAUAACUGUAGCAGAUAUUUAUUGCAGUGCUGUUACAGUAAGAAUAGAGUGGAAAAAA